rnacentral:rRNA from 1 species
UACGUAGGUGGCAAGCGUUGUCCGGAUUUACUGGGCGUAAAGGGCGCGUAGGCGGCCACCGCAAGUCAGUUGUGAAAGCUCUGGGCUUAACCCAGAAAGGUCAGCUGAUACUGCGGGGCUAGAGUGCAGAAGGGGCAACUGGAAUUCUCGGUGUAGCGGUGAAAUGCGUAGAUAUCGAGAGGAACACCUGCGGCGAAGGCGGGUUGCUGGGCUGACACUGACGCUGACAGCGCGAAAGCUAGGGGAGCGAACGGG